UUCAUUGUUUGUCUUCCCUUCACGUCACGCUCCAUGUUUGUCCUUGAAGUUUUUGAUCCUGGAUUCUUUACUCGUGCUCCCCUGUUUUGGAGCAGAGAUGAAACCAGGCGUUGGUGUCAGCUUGUCAGAGACGUGCAGGAUAGAGGCAGAGUCAAAGGUGACAGGUGGAAGAGAAUGAAGAUUCAAACCCCCCUCAGAGCCUCAACAUCGGACCCUCAGCGUGAACCUGAGGCUGGAGCAGAAACAUGAAAUAAAAAACUGGUGGACAUAAA